AGAAGAAGAUGAGGAUGGUCAUUGUCUGUUUCUGAGCUGCGAAGGGGCAGAAAGGCGAGAAAAUGUCGGAUAUUGACCAUUUGUGCUGACCUUUGAAUUUCAAUGCACCUCUCUAUAACAUAACCCAGCUGCAUUCUACACAAGGAGAUGAGGAUGGUCAUUGUCAUUUUCUGAGCUGAAAAAGGGCAGAAAGCUACAGAAGGAGAUAAGGAUGGUCAUUGUCUGUUUCUGAGCUGCGAACGGGCAGAAAGAAGGAGAUGAGGAUGGUCAUUGUCUGUUACUGAGCUAUUAACGGGCAGAAAGCUACAGAAGGAGAUGAGGAUGGUCAUUGUCAUUUUCUGAGCUACGAAGGGGCAGAAAG